UUGGUAUCACCUAUCUACAUUACAUGUGUGCAUAUUUCUAAAAUUUCCCCUAUUCUGUUCUCCUGUUGCUCAUGCACAUGGGCUCUAUUUCCAGGAUCUUUUGAGUAAAUUACACUCACCACCCAUGACCGACAUCUGAAAUAUGAAGUAGUAUAUCCUUUUCCUGGAGUAGACUACAGUCUUCCUGAGUUGGUCAUCUAAAAAGAGUCGAAGGGCACUGAGUGAAAUGUGCGAGACACAGAAAUAGAACAUUGUGUGACGGAACAGAUGCUACAGCCAUGUGAGUUUAUAUGAGGAUGCUCGUGACAGAUGCCGCCUUCUAGCAUUAGCCAAUUGUUAAAAGGAUUUCUCUAUACAACAGUUCUGACUGUACUGGAAGUUGCUUGUUAGACCUGGCUGGCCUUGAACUCAGAGAUUUGCCUGCCUCUGCAUCCUCUGUACUGGAAUAGAAGGUGUGAGCCACCACCAGACAGGACAAUUUUACUUUAAAGCAGCAUUAAUCAAUAUUUUUAGAUUUUCACAUGGAAGAAAUACUUCAUCUUCUACCACAGGAAAGAGAAACUAAAGGCAAGAUAGCUUCCAAAACAUGAGCUGAACAAGGACAACACCACGGGACAUGCCAAAGUGAGCAAGAAAAAGCACGCGAUGCCUCAAUCCUACACAAAAACCUACAGUCAACUGAGGAAAGCUGGGAUGGGAGAGAUUGUUUUCCCCAGGUUAGAGCAUACCAAAGUGCCUGUCCAGUGCCAAACGGUCAUCCCCGAAAAUAUACAUACGAGUAACAUACAGAUUCAGCAGAAUAUAUUUAUGUGUGUGCAUAUAUGUAUAUAUGUACAUACCACGACAAUUUGUGAAAAUUGAAAAGGCCGUGGAAUGUAGGAAAAGGUUCAUAGAAGGACUUGAAGGGAGGAAGGGGGAGGGAGAAAUACAAUAAUGUGGGGAUAUUUUGUUUAUACUCUAACAAAUAAAAUUCGUCUGAAGAUCAGAGGAUAGAGUCAACCACUAGAUUAAACACAGAGGCCAGGCAGUGGUGGCACACGCCUUUAA